rnacentral:rRNA from 1 species
UACGAAGGGGGCUAGCGUUGUUCGGAAUUACUGGGCGUAAAGCGCGCGCAGGCGGUCUUCCAAGUCAGUGGUGAAAGCCCGGAGCUCAACUCCGGAACUGCCAUUGAAACUGUGAAACUUGAGGACGAGAGAGGUGAGUGGAAUUCCCAGUGUAGAGGUGAAAUUCGUAGAUAUUGGGAAGAACACCGGUGGCGAAGGCGGCUCACUGGCUCGUAUCUGACGCUCAGGCGCGACAGCGUGGGGAUCAAACAGG